rnacentral:misc_RNA from 1 species
UCAAACUUGGUCAUUUAGAGGAAGUAAAAGUCGUAACAAGGUCUCCGUAGGUGAACCUGCGGAGGGAUCAUUAUUGAAAGUUUUGGGGGUACUGUUGCUGGUCUUUAACAAGGCAUGUGCAUGUACUCCUAAUCUAUUCAUCCACCUGUGCAUUUUUUGUAGGAGUUCUUUCAGGUUGGCUUGCAAGGUCCUUUGGACAUUGUAAUGGCUAGCAUGUGAGGCUUCUAUGUCUUUACAAACCAGUUAAGUAUGUUUAGAAUGUGUUGUAUUGGGACUUCAUUGACCCAUUAAACUAUACAACUUUCAGCAACGGAUCUCUUGGCUCUCCCAUCGAUGAAGAACGCAGC